GUCGUUUAUUUCUGUUUAAUAAACCUAAAGCUGUCCAAUGGUAGUUUUCCACAUCCUGGGCUGCAUGACUUUUAGCAGAACUAAAUAUCUUCCAGUUCAUAUUCAUGUGCUCAGAAAUGUGAGUCACAAACAUCGUAAUUAGGGGUGCAGGUUACUGUGUUGUUAAUCUUGAAGAGAACCAGCAAGCCAAAUAGAACCAUCAUUCUGAACUUAGUUGCAAAAAGUCUGGAAAAAUAGAUCAUUUUUUUCCAUGAAAUUCUGAAAGCAUCUUCUCAGCCCUGGAAGUGAUUUUAAUAAGCUCAACCUUACUUGACAUGCAAAGGCACAGACUGGAGUCCUUCAAAAGCUGAUUCAAAUAAGAGCAGCUCUUGGGCACUGGGUCUGAUGGAGCAGAAGUCUGUGCUGCAUCUUGCUUGCAGACAACCCUGUGUGCUGCUACUCUCUGGUUGGAGAAACUGUACUGAGCUAUGCUACCCAAACAUCUGUCCAAGUGGUCAGCUGGGAUCUCCAUCAGAGCAAGACUCUUCUUUUUUAAGCUGAGUGGCAGUGUUGGCUGUGUGCUCUCAGAGGGCCUAUUCUGGGAGCAGCUGUGCUCCAGGAAGCUACUGAGCCUUUUCAGCCCCUGGGAGGAUGCUGAGAGCAGAUAAAAUUUAAACAGCUUGCUGGGAGUUCUGUGGCACUGCUGAUAACCUGGCACAGUUUAUCACCUGGGCUCAGGAUGGCCUUGUGGAAUCUCUCGGAAAGUGGUGGCAGCAGUGCUGGUGUCAGUGGUGUGCUGCCAUGAGGGGGAGAGGUCAGUGUACUUUAUCUGUCCAUCAAGGUGGAGCUGUCAAAGUCGAUUUGGAGCUGGAUUUGAAGACCAUUUCAAAUUUGUCAGUUUGGUGGAUGCAUGCCUGCAGGUUUCCACUACAAAAAUGGAGGCAUUGCUUUUGGUACAUCCUCUGAACUAAAAGUCUCCUGGCCUCAGUGAAAUAAAGCAGGAAGGUACACAGUGUCCCAGCCCUAGAUGAAGUUGUGAUAAUUAGCUUUUGAAGCUGUACAAGUUGAUUGAUUUUUUGUUGGUUUUUUUUUUUUGUUUUGU